GUAUUGGUGAUUCAAUGGUAGAAUUUUUCCCUUCCGUGUGUGAGACCCAGGUUCAAUUCCUGGCCCAAGCA
rnacentral:tRNA from 1 species